GCAUACUAUUCCACCAGGUGCCCCAUUCAUUGUCUGUUUAUUUAACUAGCCCCCUACUGAUAGCGCCUUAAUGACAAACGUCACACUUCCCAUGGACUCAGGUAUUAGGCAGCUCCUCCGCUGUGGCCAGCUGGGACUCCUGGGCACUCUCAGUCUGGUCUUCCUUUUUCUUCCUCACAAUCUCUGCAGCCGCUUUAGUGGGGUCCGCCUCCAGCUUGAGGCUAUGUUCAUGGCUGGGUGAGACUCAAGGGCCUUCUGCAUCUUUAGACGCACUCUUCUUGCUGACUUUGACCUCCUUUCACACAGCAUAGCUUUCUCUUACAUCUGUAACAGGAGCAUGGUAGGUGCGGGAUCGUCCUCAUGUAAAGGAGCACAGGAAAGCUAAGUCCCAGUGGAGUGACUCCCUCUCCACCUGCCCCACGGGUCAUAAAAGAGCAACUGGUUUUGUAAGAAGGCACUGCACGUGGUGGGAAGGGGGGUGUCCAGGGGAGCCAUAGAGGAUUUGGGAUCUAAAGGCUGUGGGUGGCCCCCCAGUCACCCCAUUUAUUAACCUGGGCCACCCUCAGCUGCCCGCACCUGCUCAGUGGAACAGGACACACGUGGUACAUUCACAUGAGGAGCAGCUGUUCAGUCCUGGGCUCUGAAGUCGCUCCAACUGAGCCAAACUCUACCUGUGCUUCUUACAGACUAGGGGACCUUGGGCAGGCACCUUCCAUCUCUGAGCCUCAUUUUGGACAAUUACAACAGGACCCCCCCGUGGGCUUAGAGGCUUAUAUGAUGAUUCAAGAGAUGACGUGCAAGCAUUUAGCCACUCCACAUAACCCUGCGAAUGGCAACUGCUCAAGACAUUUUCGCUUCUGUUGUUGUCAUUGAUGUUCUGUGGUUGUUGCCCCAGAGGUGGUGGCUGAUCUCUGGACACACUGCGCUCUUUCCCACCAAUGUCCCCCAACAGGUCCCAGUGCAGUUCUCCAAACUUCAAGGCACUGGUGGGGCUCGCAGACUUGGACAGCUGGCGGGGAUUACCACGUCAUCAUUGCUCACAGGUGCUCACAGGCCUGUUUCCUCCCCAAGCCCCCACUUGCGGCCUUGCUUGCUAGAACACACACGACGACUCUUUGCUGGGAGAAUCCUGCCUAGAGGCAGGGGAGUGAACCAGAUGACCUUUUGACCUCACUCCCCACCCUGACUUCAGGGUUCAGGAUCACCCAGCAUGCUCUGGGGCCAAUGAAACGAGCCAUUCUCUCCGGAAAUGGGAGGUUAUGCAGCUUGAGCAGCGUUCCACAGCUCCCAGGGGUUUUCAGAUAAGCUUUGCUCCGGGCUCUUUUCUCUCCAGGACUUGUGGAAAUCUCUGGGUCUGUUUGACAUCAACUUGUGUCCUCCUGAUCCCACCAAUGACCUUCCAUUGACCUUUGGAUGCUGGCGAGAAAACGUCAUUUUUCCCCUAACCCGUUGAACUCUCAGAAAUGACAGGGUGGUGGAGGCUGGCCUGGCUGUCCCCGCCGUCGCCGUGGCAUAGAGAAGGCGCCCACACCCAGCCCCUCACACCGAAAAUGAAGUGAGGUCUUCCUGAGAGGGUUUCUCCUGCGGGGCACGGGAAGAGCGAGCAGGAAGGCCGCGGGGCGGCCGAUAGGACACCUAGAGGAAGGGGAGGAAAUGGCCAGCGGAGUCUAGACGCGUUAUCUUGCCCCCCGUGCGGGCACCGGCCCACGCUCGUCCAUCGUUCCUGGAGCCGACUUCCUGCUGCAGGAUUUACGCCAAUGACUUCACCCUCUUGCUAUCUCGGCAGUCCCGCUGCUGCCCGCUCCGGGCUCUCAGGAAUUAGGGGCCAGAUAACAAGUCUAGACAGCUCAGAAGUUUUAAAUGGAUUAUUCUCCAGGGGGCGGAGGAUGGCCAGUGACCGCUCUGGGGACCGGACCACUUUCCGACUCCCUCUGCCUGCUCCCCCACCCCCACUGCCCGGAGGUUGAAAGCAGGCACCGAAGAGUCACAGGCCGCAGGGUCCGCUCCUCCCGGCUGUCAGUGGAAGCUCCACACCCCGCCCCGGGUCCCGUUUCAGGGAGGAUCCUAGGGGCUGCCUCGGCAGAGCUGGAUGAAACCCAAAGGGCACUCGAGUUCAAAAACCAAGGGCCCUGGUGAGGCCACACGAUGCAUGGAGCCCGUUCAUUCCGACCUCAAGUGUCUCAGAAGAAGCGCUUGUGCCCUGCCCGGAGGGUGACCUCGGCACACACCUCCACCUGCCUGGGGGCUCCGCUGAUCUACAUCAGAUCCUCUCACACGCCGUGUGGCAGCCCCUUUGCCAUCUUCUCCCACCCUUUGCGUGCUGAACCAUGCCCUCCCCAAAUCCCCAUGUGGGAGUCCCAAAACCCAGCACCUCAGAAUGUGCCCUUAUUUGGAAAUAUGGUGUUAGUCAAGAUGAGGUCACACUGGCGAGGGUGGGCCUCCCACUGAUAAAAGGGGGGGCUGUGGGCACAGAGGGCACAUGGGCGGAGAUGGUGGGGACAUGUCUACAGGGAGCACCGGGUGGCCAGGGAACCCCGAGCAGGUCCUGCUCCCAGCCCAGGUGCAGCAGCCCCACUCGCACCUUGGUCUCAGACGUGGGGCCUCCUGACUGCGGGAGACAACCUUGCGGCUGUCCAAGCCCCCAGAUAGCGAACUAAUACACAGCCGCCUUCCUGAAGGACAGGGCUGGGCGCAGGAGUGCCUGGGAACCUUAGGAAAGAGGUCACCCCUAAAUUGUAAGUGGCUCCUCAGGCUCCCAGCAGCAGAGCUUCCGUGGAGUCGUCCAAGCCACGAAGCUGCCACGUCAGCAGCUCACAGCUGGUGGGGAGGUGAGGGGAGUGACUCCGUGGAGACCGGGGGUUCGUCAGCUCAGGACACGGCUGUAGCAUCGCUGCUGGUGCCCGGCCUUGGCAGGCAUCAUCCUGGACACAGCCGUGGCUUCCUCUGGCGCCUGCAGCCUCUCGCGGGAGCGUUUUCUGCUGGGGGCACAAGCAUGGCCUGAGCGCAGACAGGCAGGCCAGAACUGCCAGGAACCACUGUCCUUGGGAGCAGUUCUCAACCAGGGAGAGUAGGUGGGCAACGUCCUGGCGCCCUGGCUGAGCAGCUGAGAAACUCCAAGGGGUGAUCCACAGUCCCCUCGAGCUCCCACCACGGUCACAGGGCCAAGAAGGCACUGGGCACUGGCCCUUUCUCUUCCCGCUCUCCUUUCCUGAUGUCCCCUGAGGUCGCCUCUCAAACAGACCCCUCGCACCCAACCUUGACCCUGGUCUGCCUGGGGUAGGGGGUUGCGGAUCCAAACCAAGACAAUAGGAGGGUACAACCCACAGCACAGAGAGAUGGGAGGAGGAGACACAUCUUAGCAGAACACUGAAGGGCUGACCCUGGUAGGAGCUGACUUCUCUGGGCGCCUCAGAUAGAACCUCGGUCUCCAGAUUAAAACCAGCCUGACGGGCAGGUGUGAAGGCAGAAGUGGCUAUUAAUAGUGCUCACCAAUAUCCAUUCUCCUCUCAGCUGAUAAUACUAACUGUAACUAGGCAUGAUUGUCCCUCCCAAAGACCCACCACCCUGGAGCCUGUUCUUACUAAAGGUGCAGAGUGUGCAGGUGUGAGCCCACGGCUAGGUUCCGGCCAGCGGGGUGGGGGCCCAGUGACGUCCCGCCCCAGACAGGUGCCCGUGGGUGCUCUCCCCCCACCGUGUGGGUGAAGAUGGGAGCAAGUCUCUUCCCAUCAUCACCUCCCCAUCCUCCUCAUCUCAUACCAACACGGGGUGAAGGUUAAAAAACACUGCAGAGAUUUUUUUAUCAGUUUUCUUCCAUCAAAACCCACUUUGAAGCUUCUGACCUGAGCAAACCUUUCAUCCAUUCUAGCAAGCCAAACACAGACUUCAUUUACAUUAAUCCAAAAAUAAUAAAGUGAGAUAAAUAAAUAAAGGUUGAGAAAGAAUACUGGUGAAUUCGGGAACCUGCAAAUCCAGGAAGUGUUGGGAGAGCCCGGAUCCUUCCAGGAAAGACCAGCUUGUUCUGAUGACUUCUGGAAAGUGUGCCUCCCCAGGAGGAUCUGUGCUACAUGGAGAUAAACCGUGAGGCCCGGAGACUGAGGAGCAGCCCAGACCAGUCAGGAUGGGUGUCCUGCACCGUCC
ensembl:lncRNA